GUGGAGGCUGGGAUAGAGGGAGAGUGAUGGAGGCAGUAAGGUGGAGGCUGGGAUAGAGGGAGAGUGAUGGAGGCAGUACGGUGGAGGCUGGGAUAGAGGGAGAGUGAUGGAGGCAGUAUGGUGGAGGCUGGGAUAGAGGGAGAGUGAUGGAGGCAGUAAGGUGGAGGCUCGGAUAGAGGGAGAGUGAUGGAGGCAGUAAGGUGGAGGCUGGGAUAGAGGGAGAGUGAUGGAGGCAGUACAGUGGAGAGAGUGUUGAGUAUAGUUGAGUUCUACAUUGGCAUGAGUUGUGGGAACUUUAUGUAAGGAAAUGAUAAGGAAAAAACACAUUAUUUUGCCUUUACACCCAGUGUGUGUGUGUGUGUCUGUAUUUGUGGUCCCAUGCAGUCCCUUCUCGGUUUUUCCUCCUCUCCCUCCUUCUCCCUCUCGCCACAUUAGUGUCAUGCUUCCCACUCUGAUCUGUCCUCCGCUCACUCCCUCCUCUCCUCAUUCCUACCCACUCUUCUCUUUUCACAGUGGUGGUUCACAUACAGUUUCUCCUCUCUUCCUGAUCUUCUCC
ensembl:lncRNA